GAUGAACGCUGGCGGCGUGCCUAAUACAUGCAAGUCGAGCGAACGGACGAGAAGCUUGCUUCUCUGAUGUUAGCGGCGGACGGGUGAGUAACACGUGGAUAACCUACCUAUAAGACUGGGAUAACUUCGGGAAACCGGAGCUAAUACCGGAUAAUAUUUUGAACCGCAUGGUUCAAAAGUGAAAGACGGUCUUGCUGUCACUUAUAGAUGGAUCCGCGCUGCAUUAGCUAGUUGGUAAGGUAACGGCUUACCAAGGCAACGAUGCAUAGCCGACCUGAGAGGGUGAUCGGCCACACGGGAACUGAGACACGGUCCAACCUCCAAGGGGGGGCAGCAGUAGGGAAUCUUCCGCAAGGGGAGAAAGCCUGCCGGAGAAACGCCGGGGGGGUGAUGAAGGCUUUCGGAUCGUAAAACUCUUUUAUUAGGGAAGAAAAUAUGUGUAAGUAACGGUGCACAUCUUGACGGUACCAAACCAAAAAGCCACGGCUAACUACGU
rnacentral:rRNA from 1 species